rnacentral:lncRNA from 1 species
GUGAGAUGUGAAGGCCCAGGAGGAAAGGCUGGUGUUUCGCCUGCAACUUUUAACUGAAUUCUCUCCAUGCCUUCUGAAUUCUGAAUAUACAAACACUGCUGGCCAAUCUGGGUCAAUCUCCCAGUUGCUUCUGCUGGGAGCGUACAAAGUGCCACCAUGGUGGACAAUGAGUAGCCGGACGUUCACUUUGAGAGGUUAACACUGCUGUGGUCACUCUUUCCCGGUGCUCCACCUACCCUCCACUGCCACCACUGGAACACUCUCUUGUUGAUGGAACCUAAAGAUGCUGAUGGAUUUCCUCACUCUUGGCCCUGCUCCUUGCCCUGACUGGCCUGGCCUGGGGCUGGUAGGAGGAAGGAGGCUGGCCACCCAGGGCAAGUGGCACUGGGGCUGAAGGGAAGACCCAGGGAGGGAUGGCAUUUGUGUGGGAAACUAGGCUUGGCUCCUGUUCCCUGCUUAUCACCGAAUGUCCCUAAUGGGUUAUGCGUUGUUCUAGGUAUUUGAUGUCUCUCAUUCUAUCUCAUUUUGAUAAUGACCCUGCAGCAAAGGUGUGAUUAUGCCCGCUUUAGAGAUGAGGACACUAAGGCUGAGAGAGAGGAAGAAAUUUGCACAAGGUUACACAGGAAAACCAGGUGCAGAGGACUGAAAAGUACUGCCAUCAGGGUCUGCCUCCUGCUACCAUGCAAACCAGCCUCUUGAGGAUGAGACCCCUUGUGAAGAAAGGCCUUUGGCAUCCCGGCUGUUUUUGCUGUAGCCCCAGAGCCUCGGGCAUAGAGGGAGGCCUUUUCUCCUCACUGAGCCCCAGAUGAACUGGCUUAGUGCGGAAGAACUAGCCAGAUCAUUUAUAGAUAGAAUUGGGACAGAAAUGGUCGUUGUUUCAAGUCACUAAGCUUUGUGCUGUUUCUCUAUGAAGCAACGGCUAAUAUAUAUUAUAUAUAGUUGUAUAUCGUACUGCAUAUAUAGUCAUAUAUUAUAGUUAUGUAUAGUCACACACACACAUAUAAUAUAUAUAUUAGUUGAGGUGGUUGUGGAAGGGGGUGAAACAGUAGGAGAAAGAGGGCAAAAGGCCCUGAUUAUAUUUUUGC